CUAGGCUUGCGAGCCUUGGCUGUAGCUGAAGGGGAGCCUGAAGACAAGCCAGUAAGCAACAUUCUUGCAUCAUCUCCUCUCCUGCCCUGGCUUUGCCCAGUGGUGCACUGGAACCUAUCUAUUGCCCUUGCAGAGGUCAGUUUUGUUCUGUGAAAGCCUGUCCUGAAAACAGGAUGAUGCCUCCCUGAUACCAUGAUAGAGCAAAGAAAGCACACCAUCGGACAGUCAAAAAGGCGACCGGCGUCCCAACGGAUUUAGCAACAGAACUGUGGAGGUGGCUGUGCUCUGCCCCGCCAUCCUAAGGAAAUGCCUGUCUGAGGACUUUGGGACACGUCAUCCCUGAGAAUGCAGAGUGCGCUGCUGCUUUUCUUAAGCUGCUCUCAGAGUCUGCACCUAAAAUGCCCAGUGACUGGCUGCAUGGAAAUCUUUAAGCUAAAAGCUGCACACUGACUACAGGCUGCUGUGCCCCAGGGAGAAAUAAACGAGGAGACCCUUCAUGAGAGGCUAUCUUCCUGAGGCUAAAGUUCUAAGACGCACAUCAAAAAUUUAUAUGCGUGCUGGAAAGAGACCCAGUGAGUGAGAGAUUCGGAAAAUGUGUUAGAGUUAUCAGACACAUUUGCACGAGAGGUUGGAUAUUUGAGUAAAGAUCACAGAACUUAACCU
rnacentral:lncRNA from 1 species